rnacentral:rRNA from 1 species
AGAGUUUGAUCCUGGCUCAGGAUGAACGCUGGCGGCGUGCUUAACACAUGCAAGUCGAACGAUCCUUCGGGAUAGUGGCGGACGGGUGAGUAACGCGUGGGAAUCUGCCCUCAGGAGGGGGAUAACGGCUGGAAACGGCCGCUAAUACCCCAUAUGCCGAGAGGUGAAAUGAAUUUCGCCUGAGGAUGAGCCCGCGUCUGAUUAGCUAGUUGGUGGGGUAAAGGCCUACCAAGGCAACGAUCAGUAGCUGGUCUGAGAGGAUGAUCAGCCACACUGGGACUGAGACACGGCCCAGACUCCUACGGGAGGCAGCAGUGGGGAAUUUUCCGCAAUGGGCGAAAGCCUGACGGAGCAACGCCGCGUGAGGGAUGAAGGCCUCUGGGCUGUAAACCUCUUUUCUCAAGGAAGAAGACCUGACGGUACUCGAGGAAUAAGCCACGGCUAAUUCCGUGCCAGCAGCCGCGGUAAUACGGGAGUGGCAAGCGUUAUCCGGAAUUAUUGGGCGUAAAGCGUCCGCAGGCGGCCUUGUAAGUCUGUUGUUAAAGCGUGGAGCUCAACUCCAUUUAAGCAUGGAAACUACAAGGCUGGAGUGUGGUAGGGGCAGAGGGAAUUCCCGGUGUAGCGGUGAAAUGCGUAGAUAUCGGGAAGAACACCAGUGGCGAAGGCGCUCUGCUGGGCCAUAACUGACGCUCAUGGACGAAAGCCAGGGGAGCGAAAGGGAUUAGAUACCCCUGUAGUCCUGGCCGUAAACGAUGAGCACUAGGUGUCGGGGGAAUCGACCCCCUCGGUGUCGUAGCCAACGCGUUAAGUGUUCCGCCUGGGGAGUACGCACGCAAGUGUGAAACUCAAAGGAAUUGACGGGGGCCCGCACAAGCGGCGGAGUAUGUGGUUUAAUUCGAUGCAACGCGAAGAACCUUACCAGGGUUUGACAUCCUGCGAACCCCUGAGAAAUCGGGGGGUGCCUUCGGGAGCGCAGAGACAGGUGGUGCAUGGCUGUCGUCAGCUCGUGUCGUGAGAUGUUGGGUUAAGUCCCGCAACGAGCGCAACCCACGUCUUUAGUUGCCAGCAUUCAGUUGGGCACUCUAGAGAGACCGCCGGUGAUAAACCGGAGGAAGGUGUGGAUGACGCCAAGUCAUCAUGCCCCUUACAUCCUGGGCUACACACGUACUACAAUGCUACGGACAAAGGGCAGCAAGCUCGCGAGAGUUAGCAAAUCCCAUAAACCGUGGCUCAGUUCAGAUCGUAGGCUGCAACUCGCCUACGUGAAGGAGGAAUCGCUAGUAAUCGCAGGUCAGCAUACUGCGGUGAAUACGUUCCCGGGCCUUGUACACACCGCCCGUCACACCAUGGAAGUAAAG